rnacentral:rRNA from 1 species
AACGAACGCUGGCGGCAUGCCUAACACAUGCAAGUCGAACGAGACCAUCGGGAGUAGUGGCGCAUGGGGGUGUAACGCGUGGGAACCUUCCCUUAGGUUCGGAAUACCUCCCCGAAAGGGGUGCUAAUGCCGGAUAAUGUCUUCUGACCAAAGAUUUAUCGCGCUUGGAUGGGCACGCGUUGCAUUAGCUAGUUGGUAGGGUAAAAGCCUACCAAGGCGUGGAUCCAUAGCUGGGCUGAGAGAAUGAUAAGCCACACUGGGACGAAGAGACGGCCCAGAAUCCUACGCGAGGCAGCAGUGGGGGAUAGUGGAAAACGGGCGAAAGCAUGAUCCAGCACGGCUGGUAGAGCGCUGUAGGCCGUAGAGAAGAAAAGCUCUUUUACCCGGGAUGAUAAUGACAGUACCGAGAGAAUAAGCUCCGGCUAACUACGUG